CCUGAAAGAAGAAAGUCAAAUACACCUAGGAUGCCUUGAGGGUGUGAAGGUCGAAGUGGCGGAGUGAUACGCUGUGAUAGGAUACCAGAUCUUCUGCAACCUAGCACCAACUUGAUUUUAGCCAAUGAGCUUAAAGCUCUUUUAGGAACUCAGGCUUGUCAUGAAGCAAAAACAUCACACAUCAGUCGCCUUUGAUGAUUUAGAAACCG